UGCAGUCGAACGGCAGCGGACCUUCGGGUGCCGGCGAGUGGCGAACGGGUGAGUAAUACAUCGGAACGUACCCAGUAGCGGGGGAUAGCCCGGCGAAAGCCGGAUUAAUACCGCAUACGCCCUACGGGGGAAAGGGGGGGAUCUUCGGACCUCUCACUAUUGGAGCGGCCGAUGGCUGAUUAGCUAGUUGGUGGGGUAAAGGCCUACCAAGGCGACGAUCAGUAGCUGGUCUGAGAGGACGACCAGCCACACUGGGACUGAGACACGGCCCAGACUCCUACGGGAGGCAGCAGUGGGGAAUUUUGGACAAUGGGCGAAAGCCUGAUCCAGCAAUGCCGCGUGUGCGAAGAAGGCCUUCGGGUUGUAAAGCACUUUUGUCAGGAAAGAAAGGGUCUGGGCUAAUACCCCGGGCCAUUGACGGUACCUGAAGAAUAAGCACCGGCUAACUACGUGCCAGCAGCCGCGGUAAUACGUAGGGUGCAAGCGUUAAUCGGAAUUACUGGGCGUAAAGCGUGCGCAGGUGGUUUGUUAAGACAGUUGUGAAAUCCCCGGGCUCAACCUGGGAACUGCAAUUGUGACUGGCAGACUAGAGUGCGUCAGAGGGGGGUGGAAUUCCACGUGUAGCAGUGAAAUGCGUAGAGAUGUGGAGGAACACCGAUGGCGAAGGCAGCCCCCUGGGAUGACACUGACGCUCAUGUACG
rnacentral:rRNA from 1 species